ensembl:lincRNA Gm26563 predicted gene, 26563
GAGACAGGGUUUCUCUGUAUAGCCCUGGCUGUCUGAGAACUCACUUUAUAGACCAGGCUGGCCUCAAACGCAGGGAUUAAAGGCAUAUGCUACCACUGCCUGGCUUAAUAUAGGCAAAUUCUUAACUGACCAUAGCUAAUAAUGAUACUUGAUAAGACAAAGAAUAUUUCCUGAAUAAUUAAAGACAACCAAACCACAACUGAAUUACUCUAAGUCUAAAACAUUAAAACCAUUAUUUAGAUAGCAACAGUAUUUUUACCAAUAGUUUGUGCAGGUUUAACAGAACCAGGCUUAUUUUCCUGAUGAAGGCUCUCUGAAUUUCUAGUGGCAAGAGGCUUGGCAACAGGAGCUGUAGACUUAUCGUUGGUUUCUCCUGUCCAUCGAAGAGUAAAUUGUAAUGUAGGUCCCUGAGAAAAUGUCUCAAAUGGAGGCAGCCUCUAAACAAUACAUAAAAUAGGACAGAGUUACGAUGACAUCAAGAUAUUACAGACAUGAAAUGAAGAUACUCAUUAUUGGGGCUGCAGAGAUGGCUCAGCAGCUGAGAACACUCUUUGCUUUUUUUUUUUUUUUCCUUAAAAAAUAAAAAUCAAGGGCUGGAGAGAUGGCUCAGUAGUUUAGAAAACUGACUGCUCUUCUGAAGAUCCUAAGUUCAAAUUCCAGCAAUCACAUGGUAGCUCACAACCAUCCCUAAUAAAAUACAAUGUCCUCUUCUGGGAUGACAGGCACAGUGUAUUUACAUAUAAUAAAUAAAUCUUUUUUAAAAACUAUAUCAUUUAUUUGUUGUUCUAUUGGACUAUGGGAACUUUUUGCUACUAUUACUAUUUUGAGACAGGGUAUUUUAGGAAGCACAGAUUAGCAUCUAUUUCACUUUCCUGAUGCUUCAGUCUUUAAGACCUAUACAAUAGUUUUAGAUCAGAGAAACAAGAACUUUCACCAUGGGCUGGAGAGAUGGCUCAUUGGUUAAUAAGAGCACUGACUGUUCUUUCGGAAGUCCUGAGUUCAAUUCCCAGCAACCACAUAGUGGCUCACAACCAUCUAUAAUGGGAUCGAACACCAUCUUCUGGUGUGUCUAAAGGCAGCAAUAGUAUACUCAUAUAUAAAGUAAAUCUUAAAAAACAAAAAAUUUCAACAAAUGAAUUCAAAUUUCCUCAUUAAUUACUUCUCUUGGAGACUAGCUUUGAAAACAUGUGUUCGGGAAACCUACUUGUUUUACUGUCUGAAGUAAUUGGGAUUAAAGAUAUGUGCUACAACAUCUGUGUAUCAUAGGUUCACUGCGGUUAUGGUAGCCUUUGUUCUAAGUCUUAGGUUUUUACUGUUGUUUAGCAUUUCAAAAUCUACAUGGUUUUAAAAUUUGGAUUAUUCUCUCAGAAGACCUCAAUGUGAGAUUACAAGAAAAAAUUUAAUGCACCUAAUCUUAAAACAGUGGUUCACAAAUAUACUUUCUUUACUAAAAGCAAUACCACGACUCAUCAAAUAAUUGGAACUCUCAGACUAAUUCAGAAAAGGAGAUUUUAAGUCUUAAGGAAAAUGUAAAUGGAAAAAAAAAUAUCCUGGAAUCUGCUUGAAAGGACUCCUCAUACUCAAACUUGGGAUAAUUUGAGCAGCAAAAUGAAUAACAUGAUCAAAUGAAAAAUAACUCACUAAAAAUGUUAACCCACAUUGACAAAAAGCCAAAAAAAUUCAAAAUAAAUCAUCCCUUUCACU